rnacentral:rRNA from 1 species
AUUGAACGCUGGCGGCAGGCCUGACACAUGCAAGUCGAGCGGUUGAAGGGAGCUUGCUCCUGGAUUCAGCGGCGGACGGGUGAGUAAUGCCUAGGAAUCUGCCUGGUAGUGGGGGAUAACGUCCGGAAACGGGCGCUAAUACCGCAUACGUCCUGAGGGAGAAAGUGGGGGAUCUUCGGACCUCACGCUAUCAGAUGAGCCUAGGUCGGAUUAGCUAGUUGGUGGGGUAAAGGCCUACCAAGGCGACGAUCCGUAACUGGUCUGAGAGGAUGAUCAGUCACACUGGAACUGAGACACGGUCCAGACUCCUACGGGAGGCAGCAGUGGGGAAUAUUGGACAAUGGGCGAAAGCCUGAUCCAGCCAUGCCGCGUGUGUGAAGAAGGUCUUCGGAUUGUAAAGCACUUUAAGUUGGGAGGAAGGGCAGUAAGUUAAUACCUUGCUGUUUUGACGUUACCAACAGAAUAAGCACCGGCUAACUUCGUG